rnacentral:rRNA from 1 species
AACGUAGGAGACAAACGUUAUCCGGAGUUACUGGGCGUAAAGGGCGUGUAGGUGGUAGAGUAAGUCUGGCGUGAAAUUUUUCGGCUUAACCGGGAAAGGUCGUCGGAUACUGCUUAACUAGAGGACGGUAGAGGCGUGUGGAAUUCCGGGUGUAGUGGUGAAAUGCGUAGAUAUUCGGAGGAACACCAGUGGCGAAGGCGGCUCACUGGCUCGAUACUGACGCUGAGGUGCGAAAGCGUGGGGAGCAAACAGG